AGAAUCAACGCUGGCGGCGUGCCUAACACAUGCAAGUCGAACGAGAAAGUGGAGCAAUCCAUGAGUAAAGUGGCGACCGGGUGAGUAACACGUGACUAACCUACCCUAGAGUGGGGGAUAACCUCGGGAAACCGGGGCUAAUACCGCAUAACAUCGCAAGGGGAAGAUCCUUGCGAUCAAAGGAGCAAUUCGCUCAAGGAGGGGGUCGCGGCUGAUUAGCUAGUUGGUGAGGUAACGGCCCACCAAGGCUUAGAUCAGUAGCCGGCCUGAGAGGGCGCACGGCCACACUGGAACUGAAACACGGUCCAGACUCCUACGGAGGCAGCAGUGGGGAAUUUUGCGCAAUGGGGAAACCCUGACGCAGCAACGCCGCGUGGAGGAUGAAGUCCCUUGGAUGUAAACUCCUUUCGAUCGGGACGAUUAUGACGGUACCGGAAGAAGAAGCACCGGCUAACUCUGCGCCAGCAGCCGC
rnacentral:rRNA from 1 species